rnacentral:rRNA from 1 species
GACUGGCGUCGUCGAUUUCUCACCUUCUGGAGAAUCACGAUGCCCUUAAUUGGGUGUCGUGUGGAACCAGGACCUUUACCUUGAAAAAAUUAGAGUGUUUAAAGCAGGCAUUUUGCUCGAAUACAUUAGCAUGGAAUAAUAAAAUAGGACGGCUUGGUUCUAUUUUGUUGGUUUCUAGGAUCACCGUAAUGAUUAAUAGGGAUAGUUGGGA